UACGCGCGCUGACGCGGCAGCCCCAGCCCGCUGCCUAAUUAUGACUGGCCCGGGCGGGGCCGCGGUGUGGGGGCGGGGCUGAGGCUCGGAGAGGACGACUAUUGGCCAAGGCACCGGAGGGGCGUGCCACAGGGGCGCUGUUCUUUGCUUGGCCACGCCCCUGACUCCUGGGGUGUCAGAGAGCUGGUAGCUCACAGGCUGAGGAUCGAUUGGGAUGCAUCUGAGCAUGUGCAGUUUGGGCUGCUUUCUGUGGUCCUGUAGAAUGACAGGAUAGUUGGAGUGGAGGACACGAUGGAGGUCAGGAAGAGUUCUUCGAAGAAGAGAAUUGUAUUUGUUUUAGCAUAUACCUUCCUGAAUCAAAUCUCACCGGACAAAAAUCUUCAGAAUACCUGACAUUGUGUGCCUCAUAAGGAUAGUUGAAGACAGUAGGCGUCACCUGAGACAAGGUCUAUCAUGGGGCCCAGCACUCACCAACUACCUGCACUAGAUGGACAAUGAGCUCCAAGGAAUUUACCUGUCACCACUAUUCUAUCCCUACUCCCAGCUCUGGGGUUACAGAUAUGUGUGCCCAACUUUGGAGAUCUAAACUCCAGCAAGAUAUGUAUUGGUGAUCUGCUUUGGCCAAGUCUCAAGUUAAUGAAAGAUGUUGUAUACUAAGCAAGAUGCAUGGAUAACCAGCUAGUACUGUGAACCCAGUGCUGAUGUGCAAAAUACAGGAUUUUCUGUCGUUUUUGAUCAUCCUUUUAGACUGCAGACAUGAUGUAACCAGCUGCCUCAUACUCCUGACAUCAAGUCUUUGCCACCUCUGGUAGGAGAGUCAAAUAAACCCUUCUCACCAUUCUAUAAAUUGCUUUUGUGAGGUAUGAAAAUAAUAGGUAAUACAGAAGGUAAGUAGGUAAAUGCAAUAGUAAAUGGAUAAACGAUGUAACUAUAGUACAUGUAGGCAUUGACACUUCAGCAAUGCAAAAAAAAAAAAAAAAAGACCUACCAGCUGAUGAAAAGAUGAGGCGCUGUAACUAUGACUGUGAGUAAGAAUCCAGUGUGUGUACUGUGCAGGCUGUAUGAUUUCAACUGUGUAACACCUUGAGAAGGGAAGCAUGCAUCAGUGGGCUGCUGGCGCAUUGAGGUUGUAAGGGGUGAAGAGAGAUGGAUAAGAGAACAAAGCACAGAGGGAUUUUAGAGCAGUGGACACUCUGACUGAUGCCAUAAUGUUCUAGGUACAUGUCACUGUAUGUUAGUCCAAACCUAUAAAGUGUCCAAUACCGGCAGUGAACUAGGUGUGGACUGUGGUCUUCAGGUGAUAGUGACAUUUGCAUGCCAUUUCAUCAGUUUUCACAAGCAGAGCACUAGAUGUUGGGUGCUGCUAGUGGGGAGAGGGUGCAUGUUUGUGGGGUACAGAGAUUAAACUGGAAAUAUCUUUAUCUCCUGCCCAGUGAACCCACAACUACUCUGAAGAAUGAAGUCUAUUUUUAAAUGAAAUGGCUAACUCUCCUCAAAGCCUCUCCUUAUUUUGGGGGGCUUGUCCCAUGCUACACAUGUGCACUAUUCCUCUCUUGGGACCAAGCCGUCCCAUCCUCAAAUCUUAAAUAACUCAUUUUUCUCUUGAAAAACAAAGGGUGCUGAUUGUUUCUAAAAAUAAUUUAGUUGGGGUGAAGUUUGUACCCAUUUUAAAUGCACCAUCUGAUAAUGGGUGUUUUGGUUGUUUUCUGUUUGAUGAGUUUUGUAGUUGAAAACCCCUCUGUAACCACAAGCCAGCACAUUGAAGAUGAAGAAUAUUCUUACCCCCUGCACACACCCCUCCUGCCCUGUGCAGCACUCUCCAGACUCCAGCCCUGGAAGUCACUGAUUCCUUUUUUCUGCUCUUCCAAGACUAACUUUGCCUGUUUAAGAAUUUCACAUAAACAGGUCAUGAGGAAAGGAGGUUGUUUACUGAAAAAAACAAAACAAAACAUAAAACGGAAACAAUCGAGUUUGGAAGUAUGUCACAGAUGGACCGACGGAGCUAAUCUUUCCGUAUUGGGGCCUGCAGCACUUCCGGUAUUGGUAUUCAGGAAUUCAUAUUGAAAUAUUCCAGGGACUCUGAUCUACAAAGGCUCUGUUCCUCUAAUGCAGUCCCAUUUGAGAACACGAGGUGGCACCCGUGGAGGGCUGUUGGGUUGGCCUACAUAAACUUGCUCUCCACUGGUUCUUAAAUAUGUUCAGUGUAUUCUCUCAUUGGAAAAUGGAUUUGUAAAGAAGUCUGAGCCUAAGUUUGGCUGUCUUUGCUGGAAGUCACAGGACAGAUCUGGAAAUGCCUUCAUCCUUAAGCAAUACUACUGACCACAAAGGACCCUACUCCCAUGAGAACUAUUGCAAUACACACUCCUAUUUUUAAAUAGCUUUGUUGAUGAAACUUGACUUUACAGAAUUACAGACAUGUGACAUCAUUUAAAAAUGAUUUUUUGUUUUUAUUUUAUGUGCACUGAUGUUUUGCCUGCAUGUAUGCAUAAAUGAGGAUGUCAAUUUCCCUGGAACUGGAGUUUACAGACAGUUGUGAACUGCCAUGUGGGUGCUGGGGGAUUGAACCGGGGUCCAGUGCUUUUAGCCGUUGAGUCAUCUCUCCAGCCCUGUUGGCCACCAUUUUAAUUGAUAAAUUCUACAUACAUA